GUGUGGAUAGCGGAGAAAUUCCAAUCGAACCCGGAGAUAGCUGGUUCUCCUCGAAAUAGCUUUAGGGCUAGCCUCAUGAGAGUCUUAUGGAGGUAGAGCACUGAAUUUCCUAGGGGGCGUCAAAGCUUACCAAAGCAUAUCAAACUCCGAAUGCCAUCAAGAUGAUUCAUGGGAGUCAGACCAUACGAGAUAAGUUGGAUGGUCAAAAGGGAAAGAGCCCAGACCUACAGCUAAGGUCCCAAAGUACGUGUUAAGUGGAAAAGGAUGUGGGGAUUCUAAGACAACUAGGACGUUGGCUUAGAAGCAGCCAUUCAUUGAAAGAGUGCGUAAUAGCUCACUAGUCGAGAGUCCCUGCGCCGAAAAUGUCCGGGGCUGAAACACGACACCGAAGCUUAGGAAUGUGUAAACAUUGGUAGAGGAGCAUUGCUAGCGGGAUGAAGCCAUACCGUAAGGAGUGGUGGACUGCUAGGAAGAGAGAAUGCCGGAAUGAGUAGCGAGAUGAAGGUGAGAAUCCUUCAGGCCGAAUAUCUAAGGUUUCCAGAGUAAAGCUGAUCUGCUCUGGGUAAGUCGGGACCUAAGGCGAGGUCGAAAGACGUAGUCGAUGGAUAACAGGUUGAAAUUCCUGUACCGCAUAUAAACAGAACUGUGGGGACACAGACAGGGAAUGGAAUCCGGGAAUGGAUAUCCCGGUGCAAGCGAGGUAGGAGUGCUGUUGGCAAAUCCGCAGCACGAUCUGAAGACGUGACGCGUACCGAACAUAAGUAGGGAAGUCCAGGCCCCUGGCUGUCAAGAAAAGCCGCUAUCGUUUUAUAUGUGCCCGUACCGCAAACCGACACAGGUGGAUGAGGAGAGAAUCCUAAGGCCGACGGGAGAAGUAUUGUUAAGGAACUCGGCAAAAUGACUCCGUAACUUCGGGAGAAGGAGUGCCAUGAGAGUGGCCGCAGAGAAAUGGCCCAAGCAACUGUUUAGCAAAAACACAGGUCUAUGCAAAACCGCAAGGUGAAGUAUAUGGGCUGACGCCUGCCCGGUGCUGGAAGGUUAAGGGGAGAGGUUAGCGCAAGCGAAGCUUUGAACUUAAGCCCCAGUAAACGGCGGCCGUAACUAUAACGGUCCUAAGGUAGCGAAAUUCCUUGUCGGGUAAGUUCC
rnacentral:rRNA from 1 species